UUAACAGUGUUUGGCAGUUCCCCACCCAUGCUCUCUCUUACUCCUGACACCCUGUGAAGAAAGUGCCUGCUUCCCCUUUGCCUUCUGCCACGAUAGAAAGUUUCCUGAAGUCUCCCCAGUCAUGUGGAACUUCUCUCCUAGAUUAGAUUUUCAUUGCCUACAUGUUUGCCUACAUGUUUGCAUAUCAGCAAUGCCAUCAUAAAUGUCUGAAUCAACGUGGCUGAAAGAAACACCACUAAGAUUGAACUGAAGACUCCUAGAAGAAAACAGAUAACAGCAGAAAUAGCCCUGAGAGAUCAAAUUGCUUUUUAUUCCAUGGACAUCAUGAUUUGACACAGAAAGGGUCUUGCUUCCGUCACCCAGGCUGGAGUGAAGUGGUGCCAUCUCUGCUUAGUGCAAACUCUGCCUUCUGGGCUCAAGUGAUCCUGUCAUCUCAGCCUCCCAAGAAGCUGGGGCUACAGGCCCGUGCCACAACCCCAGCUAAUUUUUGUAUUUUUUGUAGAGAUGGGGGUUUUGCCGUGUUGGCUGGACUGGUCUGAAAUUCUUGGGCUCAAGCGAUCCACCCACCCCAGCCUCCCAAAUGUUGGAAUUACAGGUGUGAGGCACUGUGCCCGGUCCCAACAAGGCCUUUGAAUAUGUAACUAGUAUUCCACUUAAAAAAUAUGCAAGGCAAAUAGCCUCAUCGAUUGUAACUCUAAAAUGAGUAUAUAUGAAAAUGUUAGGCAUUGUUCACUAAAAAUUAAAAAUAAUUGUUUCCUGUUAAAUGAAAGUAUGGAAAAUGAUGGUUACUGCAUAAGUCAGUUUCUUUAAAUAUAACCAUACCUUUACCAGAAACCAAAAAACAUCCCAGGAAAUAGACUUUCUAGAAUUGUCUUCUGAGCUAAAUUCCAGUCUAGGAUGAUCAACUGUUCCAUUUUUCCUGGGACAAAGUUUUCCCAGGACUUUAAGGCUAAAAAUGGGAAAGUUGUUGGUAAACUGGGCAGAGUUUCUACAUAUGACACACAUAUGGCUCUUUUGCCCAGGGAUUUUAGCCUUUUUUGCUUCUAGCAAUUUGUUACAGACUUAUGGGAGCUCACAGUAACCCUUAGGGUAAAAGGAAAGUCUGAUGAAUUAAAAGUGAAUGGAUCUAAUGUUAUUAGCAAUAUUAUUUAUUAUAGUCAAAAAGUGAGAACAAUCCAAAUGUUUGUCAACUGCUAAGUGGGUGAAGAAAAUGUGGCAUAUUCAUAUAAUAGAGUAUUAUUCAGAAAUAAAAUGGAAUGAAGUACUGACACACGCUACAACCUGGAUAAACCCUGAAGACAUUGUGCUAAGUAAAGAAGCCAGACACAAAAGACCACAUAUUGUAUGAUUCAUUUAUAUGAAAUGUCCAGAGUUGGCAGUAAAGACAAAGUAGAUUAGUGGUUACCAGGGACUGUCGGGAGGGGGAAUGAGGAGCGGCUGUUAAUGGGUCGGGGUUUCUUUUUUUUUGGGUGAUGAAAAUGCUCUGGAAUUCGAUAGCAGUGCUGGUUGCACAACUGUAAAUAUACUAAAAGCCUCUGAAUAGCACGC
rnacentral:lncRNA from 1 species